CCAAGGCCAAGGCUAAAUACUCCUGACUGACCGAUAGUGAACCAGUACCGUGAGGGAAAGGGAAAAAGAACCCCGGCGAGGGGAAAGAACCUGAAACCGUGUACGUACAAGCAGUGGGAGCACGCUUAGGCGUGUGACUGCGUACCUUUUGUAUAAUGGGUCAGCGACUUAUAUUCUGUAUCUGUAGCAAGGUUAACCGAAUAGGGGAGCCGAAGGGAAACCGAGUCUUAACUGGGCGUUAAGUUGCAGGGUAUAGACC
rnacentral:rRNA from 1 species